UGUUAUAAAUUCGUAUGGUUAAUCUUUAAUAUUAUUGCAACAACUAUUAAACAUAAAUCUGAUUUUUACUGGACUUGUUUGGGUGUUAUGAUUUAUUUUCAGACAAUUCACAUAGAAUAUGAAUCGAUAAGCUCUAUAAAAGAGGUCUUUGUUUUUAGAAAACUGAGACUUGCUGACUGGUAAGAAAAGCUUACAAACUUGCGAAUGGAAAUUGGGAAUUCUAAUUGGCAUUACUGAUUGACGAUAGUAGUAAUGACAGCAAUUGGUAUAAGAAUCAAAUCACAGAAUGAGGGGUAAAGAUAGUGAUCUGUAUUAAAAAAAUGCUGUAAACUACCCAAUUGCAUACUUACUACUUGAACCUGUGACCUUGGGAGGUUCAAACCUCUUGAAUGGCACCGUGACAGCUUGGGUGGUUGGUGCGACUGUUGUCGUUACUGGAAUACCCCAUUUUCAUGCAACAUCGAUGCAAACGUAAACAGUGAAUAUUUAUAAAUAUCAAAUUUUACGAAUUAAAAAUAAAUUCUUGCACCCCUUGAAUGAAAUCCAAUACAAAGAAAUAAUAAAACCAAUGGAUAGAUGAGACGUAAUGAUAAUCCGUGGCAUUCACACCAGCCCUCAUUAGUAAAGUUCUAAUUUUUGUCACGCCAUGGGUGGUGAUGAAAAUGAUACGGAUUACUUUGAUUCUAAAAAUAAAUCUUCAAGCUUGGACUAACUGGACUCAAAAACGCUAAGUGUUAUCUUGGAAAAAGAAAAGGAAAAAACAGAUCCGAGGAACGUGAUGAAGCGAAGCAUUGAACUUCCAAACAAUUUUGAAUAAUGAUGAGAUACUGUCACAAUGCCCAGUAUCAAUCAUAAUCUUUUUCUAGAUACGGCACACAAUCUAGCAUUCCCAAGCAAUAAGUUGUUGCCAGCUAUUUGUCUGCAAAGUUUCAUUGUGACUUACCAUUCUCGACACACAUGAGACCAUCGGGUAAAAGCCUGAGCCCGUCUGGACAAGCACAACUGAGAAGAGGGGAUUUUGCACUGAUCUUUGGUGCUGGUAAGCAAAGGUGACUACAGUGCCCAUUUACUGCCUGACACUGAUUUUUUCCAUCAGGUUGCCUAUACGGAUGAUACACGUGUACAGCCAUUGGGUGUUGAACAGACCUCACAGAAGUUAUCGCCUCAACUUCUUUGCCGGUGAAU
rnacentral:lncRNA from 1 species